UGAUGCACACGGUUAUUCUCCUUCAUCCAUGAUCUACAGAACAUGCAGCUCAAUUUUAACUAUAUCGUUGAGCUGCAUGUUCGGGGAAUGCGGGGGAUGAUGUCAUUGAUAUCAUUGAGUGAUAUCCUUUAGUGUGUAUGCGCUAUACCGCUGAACGAUAUAGCGUUCAGCAAUAUAGCACUCGGCGUGUACAGGGCUGAAGUCGCACAGUGUGUACGGGGAUUAUCGGUGUUUAAUUUUACAUCUUUUACAUUUCUGCUCCAGUCUGACGGAAAUUUACAGUAACAAUGUAAUCAAAGUAUGAGGAUGGGUUCAUAUAACAGUUAUACUUGUCUUGUUAUCCAAAAGUACUGUAAGCAUGGACAUGGUUUUAUAGCCUGAGCAAACAUCAGGACACAGGGCUGCCUUAGGGCUGCCUGGUAGAACAAUGGGAGCACUAGUCACAAGUGAGGUUCCAUGAUGUCAUCAUAACAGUCAGUGAGUAUAUCCUGCAGCUGCUGGAGCUGACCAGUCACCAUUCAUCUGAGCCUACCCGAGUGACAACAUCUGUUAGACAAUGGCACAGAGAAGACAUCGCCCACGCCAACGGCCAAGACGUAGGAGAACUUCUCACAAAAGAAGAGGUGUAUCGAGAAGCAGAAGAGCAAGACACUGGUAUUACUACAAAGUGCUGGGAUAGGCUAGGAUGACCUCCACCUCCUGCCACACCAAAGUCAUGUUUCUGAAGAUCAUCAAGCAGCCUAAAACAUCAGGGAAGCUGCAGAGACACUGUGAAACAACAAGUGUUCAUGAGAACUAGACCAACCGUAUGAACAUCUAUGACCUGGUUUCAGCAAAAAUGGAAACAUGGAUUGGACAAUGUGGCUUAUAUCCAGCAGGAGAUGCUAAGCACUGUUAGUUAAUAAAUGCUGAUAAGUAA